rnacentral:rRNA from 1 species
UACGUAGGGGGCAAGCGUUGGUCCGGAAUCAUUGGGCGUAAAGCGCGUGUAGGCGGUCCGGGUAAGUCCGCUGUGAAAGUCGGGGGCUUAACCCUCGGAUGCCGGUGGAUACUGUCGGGCUUGAGUACGGAAGAGGCGAGUGGAAUUCCUGGUGUAGCGGUGAAAUGCGCAGAUAUCAGGAGGAACACCAAUUGCGAAGGCAGCUCGCUGGGACGUUACUGACGCUGAGACGCGAAAGCGUGGGGAGCAAACAGG